AGAACUGCAGCAUGUGGGUACCACCGACCGAUCAAACCGGAGACGGUCGUACCAGUUUGAACGAAAAAUUGGGUUAUUAAUUAAAGAAACAACAAAAUCAAGUUUAUUAAUAUUUUAUUAUUAUUUAAUGUCCACUUAAUUAUAAAGAUUCAAAGCGUUCUAUUCCUAACAGUCUAUUGGAUACAAUAAAUGGUACUUAUUAAAUAUCACAAAGGAAAAUUUUAUUUAUCCCCUCUUUCUCCUUACAAAAGUAUAUGGGGUAAGUAUACUUGACUUAAUAAUAAUAUCCUUGUCUAGCUCAUUAUAGUACCUAGGGAACUUGAACUAAUAAAAAACAUAUGCAAAAUGUUCGAUCUAAUAAAGUACAUGUUAUUGGUAAAAAACCGAAAUUUCAAUUUUUCUCAAAAACUAAAAUUUUUUUAGUUUUUGAUUAUUACGUACAAGGUGCCCCUUUGCAAGGAGUACUUGACAGUUUUUAAAUAAAAGCUCUAUCUUUAAUAACAAAAAAGUUAUGCAAAAUUUUCGAUCUAAAAAAGUACAUGUUAAUCGUAAAAAACCGAAAUUUCGAUUUUUCUCAAAAACUAUAAUUUUUUCAAUUUUGAUAUUUAUGUGUAAGGUGCCCCUUUAAGAGGAGUACUUGGCAGUUUUUAAAUGAAAGCUCUAUCUUUAAUAACAAAAAAGUUAUGCAAAAUUUUCGAUCUAAAAAAGUACAUGUUAAUUGUAAAAAACCGAAAUUUCGAUUUAUUUCAAAGACUAUAAUUUUUUCAAUUUUGAUAAUUAUGUGCAAGGUGCUCCUUUGCGAGGAGUACUUGGCAGUUUUUAAAUGAAAGCUCUAUCUUUAAUAAUAAAAAAGUUAUGCAAAAUUUUCGAUCUAAAAAAGUACAUGUUAUUCGUAAAAAACCUAAAUUUUGAUUUUUCUCAAAAACUAUAAUUUUUUCAAUUUUGAUAUUUAUGUGUAAGGUGCCCCUUUAAGAGGAGUACUUGGCAGUUUUUAAAUGAAAGCUCUAUCUUUAAUAACAAAAAAGUUAUGCAAAAUUUUCGAUCUAAAAAAGUACAUGUUAAUUGUAAAAAACAGAAAUUUCGAUUUUUCUCAAAAACUAUAAUUUUUUCAAUUUUGAUAUUUAUGUGUAAGGUGCCCCUUUGCAAAGAGUACUUGGCAGUUUUUUAGUGAAAGCUCUAUCUUUAAUAACAAAAAAGUUAUGCAAAAUUUUCGAUCUAAAAAAGUACAUGUUAUUCGUAAAAAACCUAAAUUUCGAUUUUUCUCAAAAACUAUAAUUUUUUCAAUUUUGAUAAUUAUGUGCAAGGUGCCCCUUUUCAAAGAGUACUUGGCAGUUUUUAAAUGAAAGCUCUAUCUUUAAUAACAAAAAAGUUAUGCAAAAUUUUCGAUCUAAAAAAGUACAUGUUAAUUGUAAAAAACCGAAAUUUCGAUUUAUUUUAAAGACUACAAUUUUUUUAGUUUUUGAUUAUUACGUACAAGGUGCCCCUUUGCGAGGAGUACUUGGCAGUUUUUAAAUGAAAGCUCUAUCUUUAAUAACAAAAAAGUUAUGCAAAAUUUUCGAUCUAAAAAAGUACAUGUUAAUUGUAAAAAAUCGAAAUUUCGAUUUUUCUCAAAAACUAUAAUUUUUUCAAUUUUGAUAAUUAUGUGCAAGGUGCCCCUUUGCGAGGAGUACUUAACAGUUUUUAAAUGAAAGCUCUAUCUGUAAUAACAAAAAAGUUAUGCAAAAUUUUCGAUCUAAAAAAGUACAUGUUAAUUGUAAAAAACCGAAAUUUCGAUUUUUCUCAAAAACUAUAAUUUUUUCAAUUUUGAUAAUUAUGUGCAAGGUGCCCCUUCGCUAAGAGUACUUGACUGUUUUUAAAUGAAAGCUCUAUCUUUAAUAACAAAAAAGUAAUGCAAAAUUUUCGAUCUAAAAAAGUACAUGUUAAUUGUAAAAAACCGAAAUUUCGAUUUUUCUCAAAAACUAUAAUUUUUUCAAUUUUGAUAAUUAUGUGCAAGGUGCCCCUUUGCUAGGAGUACUUGACUGUUUUUAAAUGAAAGCUCUAUCUUUAAUAACAAAAAAGUUAUGCAAAAUUUUCGAUAUAAAAAAGUACAUGUUAAUUGUAAAAAACCGAAAUUUCGAUUUUUUUCAAAAACUAUAAUUUUUUAAAUUUUAAUAAUUAUGUGCAAGAUGCCUCUUUGCUAGGAGUACUUAACAGUUUUUAAAUGAAGGCUCUAUCUUUAAUAGCAAAAAAGUUAUGCAAAAUUUUCGAUCUAAAAAAGUACAUGUUAAUUGUAAAAAACCGAAAUUUAGAUUUUUUUCAAAAACUACAAUUUUUUUAGUUUUUGAUUAUUACGUACAAGGUGCCCCUUUGCGAGGAGUACUUGGCAGUUUUUAAAUGAAAGGUCUAUCUUUAAUAACAAAAAAGUUGUGCAAAAUUUUCGAUCUAAAAAAGUACAUGUUAAUUGUAAAAAACGGAAAUUUCGAUUUUUCUCAAAAACUAUAAUUUUUUCAAUUUUGAUAAUUACGCGAAAGGUGCCCCUUCGCUAGGAGUACUUAACAGUUUUUAAAUGAAAGCUCUAUCUUUAAUAACAAAAAAGUUAUGCAAAAUUUUCGAUCUAAAAAAGUACAUGUUAAU
rnacentral:lncRNA from 1 species